rnacentral:rRNA from 1 species
UACGGAGGGUGCAAGCGUUAUCCGGAAUGAUUGGGCGUAAAGCGUCCGCAGGUGGCUAUGUAAGUCUGCUGUUAAAGAGUGAGGCUCAACCUCAUAAGAGCAGUGGAAACUACAUGGCUAGAGUGCGUUCGGGGCAGAGGGAAUUCCUGGUGUAGCGGUGAAAUGCGUAGAGAUCAGGAAGAACACCGGUGGCGAAAGCGCUCUGCUAGGCCGCAACUGACACUGAGGGACGAAAGCUAGGGGAGCGAAUGGG